rnacentral:lncRNA from 1 species
GUCUAGUGAUUUUUUUUAUAUCCAGAAAGCAACAUAAUUUAAAUAUUGUAAAUUAGCUGUCUCUACAUUUUUAAUAGAGAAAGCUUACCAUUAUAAUUAUUUUUUCCUCUCUUUCCCCUUUAAUCAGGAAUAAAUUGCUUAAUUUUUAUUUUUUAUUUUUUUUUUCCCCACAUGAGAGCAGAUAGAUGUUCCUCGGAAAGCCAUAACCUGAGAAAGAAAGAGAGAAGCACAGGUAAGUGAAAUUAAAUGAAUAAAUGACCAUGGAAGUAAAUACAUAGUUAUUAGGGAACGUGACAGAUCAUUUCGACAGCGCAGGAAGAAAAAAAAAAAAAAAGUCGACAAAUAACCUCCCACCCCCAAUUAUUUAUUUAAUUUAGAGUCUCACAGCAGCCCUCACAAUAGGCAAAGGCAGCUAGGAAAGGAUAGAUCUCACGCCAGCCGUUCAGCUGGUGGCUCUCUCUAGGUUUAACACCGGAGGAAACGAACCCACGAAGCGGGGCUCAACCCCCGUCGCCUCCCCCCAGCCCGUGGCCGCUCGCAGCCGAUGCGCUUUGUAGUUUCCCGGCGCCAGAGCAGUAGGACCCAGGGGCCCUCCGCAGCCACCAAUAGAGGCUGCUACCGGGAUCUAUUUGUAUGCGAUGCCUCCUGCUCCGCGCAUUAAUAGUAAUACAGAUAACGGCUCUGAAAGAAUGCUCUCCUGGAGAAGGAUUUGAUUUUCUGGGGUCCUGAUACUGGGGAGAAAUCCGGUUCCAUCCCCCCUUUUUGAUUUAAAACUCUCCCGAACAGCUUGUCGUCUUCAGUGCUCCCUCUUUCUCUCUCUCCGUAUAAAUACACCUCCCUGCAGCCCCGCUCUGCGUAAGGAAAGUUGGAAAAGGGCAGCCUGAGCGAUGGGGCUGCCGCUGCCCUGAGAGCCUGUGGAGCCCGGCGGCCCUGCCAUGGACCCUGCGGCCUGCUCAGGCCCCAGCACUGUCAGGCAAGUGGGAGCUGACUGUGGAUGUUUCCUUCCAUUGGUCCUGCUGGCUGGUAAGUGCCAGCAGCUUUCCUUUUCUUCCCUUCCAAUGGCUACACAAUGGAGCACAGGAAGUUGCACACCAACAUGUGAAAGAACUUCUUCACAAAGAGGGUGACAGAGCACUGGAACAGGCUGCUCAGGGAGGUUGUGGGGUCUCCUCCUCUGGAGAUAUUCAAGGCCCAUCUGGACUCCUACCUGGGCAACCUGCUCUAGAGAACCUGCUUUGGCAGGGGGGUUGGACAGGAUGAUCUCUCAAGGUCCCUUCCAACCCCAUCAAUUCUGUGAUUCAAAUGCUGAGCUAACUGCAUGAGCU